rnacentral:rRNA from 1 species
UACAGAGGGUGCGAGCGUUGUCCGGAAUCACUGGGCGUAAAGGGCGCGUAGGUGGCGACCCAAGUCGAUGGUGAAAGCUCGCCGCUCAACGGCGAGUCGGCCACCGAUACUGGGUUGCUGGAGCACUGUAGAGGCAGAUGGAAUUCCGGGUGUAGCGGUGGAAUGCGUAGAGAUCCGGAAGAACACCGGUGGCGAAGGCGGGUCUCUGGGCAGUAACUGACGCUGAGACGCGAAAGCGUGGGGAGCAAACAGG